rnacentral:rRNA from 1 species
GACGUAGGGCGCAAGCGUUGUCCGGAAUUAUUGGGCGUAAAGAGCUCGUAGGCGGACUGUCACGUCUGCUGUGAAAAGCUGGGGCUUAACCCUGGCCUUGCAGUGGAUACGGGCAGACUAGAGGUAGGUAGGGGAGAAUGGAAUUCCCGGUGUAGCGGUGAAAUGCGCAGAUAUCGGGAGGAACACCGGUGGCGAAGGCGGUUCUCUGGGCCUUACCUGACGCUGAGGAGCGAAAGCGUGGGGAGCGAACAGG